AUCCCUAAACUUAAAUUUAAAAAAAAUAACAUUUUUGUUUUCAUGAAUUAUUACAAUAUAGAAAUGGUUGUUUUUGUGGCUGUGGUAGAUACCUUUGAAAAUAACGUGCGGGACUUCUUGGACGCAGUAUCCAGUUCUCCAUAGUGGCUUCACAGCGGUAUGAACUAGCCACAUACCUGUUAGCUAGCAUGGCUCAUUUUAACCUAAUGAAUUAAAGUAUCUUUACAAACUAUCAACAAUAACAAUAUGUCUAGGCUGACGCUCAUCAGUACAUGCUUAUAUCUGUGUCUGGCGCCCACUGUUCUCCGGAACAGGUAAAAACCCAUGCCUAUGAAUAACAAUUUGACGGGAUGGGAUGAACUAGGCUAGCAAUGGUUCUUACAGGAUGGCUAUAGAAGAAAAUACAACUAUAGCAGCUGAAGUCAGCAGAUCCAACAGUCCUAAAGAUGAGUCAAAGCCUGAUGAAGCCAACCUGUUGAUGGAGUAGAAAGACCACCAGUAAAGAAUCCAGUGUUUUAGGAUGCUGGUGGUCUUCCUGGUGGAGUAACUGAGGAGCAGAAACAUGGGGUUUGAAGGCUCUCACUACAUGAUUCCAUAUCUGUUACAUUGAGACAAAUGACCAAGAAGAGAGAAACAUGUUUGAACUGUUGGAGAUGUUUUAAAUGAAAUGUACAUUUAAAAUGAGGGAAAACAAGCAAACGUUGCACAUAUUAACUUGCAUUCAAUCAGAUGAAGUACAAAGCUACAAAAGUAUUGGGACAGAGUCAUUUAUGCACCCCCCCCACCCCCAAGCAAGGUAUACUGUAGGGAGAGGAUAUUGGUUGAGAGGAACCAGGCCUGAGGGGUAGAGCUCAUUCUCAUCUGCCUUGUAAAGAGAGAGAGCUCUGCAGUACUGAGAUGUUUUAUUACUAAGAGAGAGCUCUGCAGUACUGAGAUGUUUUAUUACUAAGAGAGAGCUCUGCAGUACUGAGAUGUUUUAUUACUAAGAGAGAGCUCUGCAGUACUGAGAUGUUUUAUUACUAAGAGAGAGCUCUGCAGUACUGAGAUAUUUUAUUACUAAGAGAGAGCUCUGCAGUACUGAGAUAUUUUAUUACUAAGAGAGAGCUCUGCAGUACUGAGAUAUGUUAUUACUAACAACAGUGGUGCAUGUGUAUUUGUUUUAAUACCUUAAUAUUAAAAUUGUCUUUGUCAAAUUCCUUCAAAUUACCAUCUGGUAUAUAUCUAAGCAUAUCUGUUUUCACAAUAGAAUUUUGUCACCUGAAUUUGACUUUUUUCUCAAAUAUAUCUGAACAUUAAUCUGUGAUGUAAUAUUUAUAUAUUUUCUAUAAAGGAGUUGAGUUCUAUAUCGGAUUCUAUUAUUAUGACCUCCAUUCAAAAGGCACAUCUGAGCUAUCUUUGUAGCAGGUGCAUGGUAACAACUGAAUAACAUGAGAGAGAAAAGAAGAAACCCGCACACUGCUCUUGGUAGUAUCGCUGCAUUUUAUUAAGCUUAACGUAUCGUCCUCGAGGUCUUCAUCAGAGCUUUAAUGAGUGUUUUUCAUUUGCUCCCUUAUGUAGACAUUGCUCCACCCACAUCCUUUCAAUGCAGCAAAUGAGGUUGGAGUCAAGGGGAAAUAAACGUGAUACCAAAUAUAACAAUGUUCAUUUCAUAAGUAUUCUAAUAAAGUGUGUACAUAAAAUGUAUUAAACACUUAUGUAAAACCACAAUGAGGAAAUCAAUCUAUCAAGUAAGUUUUCCUUGUGUACAGUACAUACAGUGCAAGAAAAAAAUGCCAGAGUAGGUUGAAGUGGUGGCAUUAGUUCAUGUUCAUAUUCAAGUACCAUGCAUUGGAAUUUCAUCAUAAAGACCUUUUAGGAAUAAUGUCUGGAGGGUGAAAAUCCAAAAACAUAUUUUGCUCAGAGUGUUGUUUACUGUAUAUCCCCUCCCCUGUCUGAUAUCUUUACUUUCUCUAUGCCACAAAAUCUAAAGGUAGAAAUGUCCUGUUUUUGGUCAUUAAAAUGUAAUGAG